rnacentral:rRNA from 1 species
GGGGAAUUUUGGACAAUGGGCGCAAGCCUGAUCCAGCAACGCCGCGUGCGGGAUGAAGGCCUUCGGGUUGUAAACCGCUUUCAGCAGGGACGAAGGGUUUCUGACGGUACCUGCAGAAGAAGCACCGGCUAACUACGUGCCAGCAGCCGCGGUGAUACGUAGGGUGCGAGCGUCGUCCGGAAUCACUGGGCGUAAAGAGCUUGUAGGCGGUCCGUCACGUCGGAAGUGAAAACUCAGGGCUUAACCCUGAGCCUGCUUUCGAUACGGGCAGACUUGAGGGAUGUAGGGGAGAACGGAAUUCCUGGUGGAGCGGUGGAAUGCGCAGAUAUCAGGAGGAACACCGAUGGCGAAGGCAGGUCACUGGGCCGCAACUGACGCUGAGGAGCGAAAGCAUGGGGAGCGAACA